CCUAUCCAGUAUGGGCCCUCCCACCUUGGCUACCCUAAGGACAUGAAUACCAAGAAGAGGGGAUCUUUGAGGUCAGCUCAGGCUGGCUACCACAUCAGCUUCUUAAGUGAUACAGAUCCUAAAUCCAGAGGUGAAGGUGGAUGGAUUCUUAGGGCAUUUGGAUGUAACAUCCCAGGAUACAGUGUGGCUCCUGGAACUGUGCACUGGGCAUGGAAGAAAAAACUCCAAGAAGCCCUGUUUUCC